rnacentral:rRNA from 1 species
GAUGGACGCUGGCGGCGUGCCUAAUACAUGCAAGUCGAGCGAACGGACGAGAAGCUUGCUUCUCUGAUGUUAGCGGCGGACGGGUGAGUAACACGUGGAUAACCUACCUAUAAGACUGGGAUAACUUCGGGAAACCGGAGCUAAUACCGGAUGAUAUUUUGAACCGCAUGGUUCAAAAGUGAAAGACGGUCUUGCUGUCACUUAUAGAUGGAUCCGCGCUGCAUUAGCUAGUUGGUAAGGUAACGGCUUACCAAGGCAACGAUGCAUAGCCGACCUGAGAGGGUGAUCGGCCACACUGGAACUGAGACACGGUCCAGACUCCUACGGGAGGCAGCAGUAGGGAAUCUUCCGCAAAGGGCGAAAGCCUGACGGAGCAACGCCGCGUGAGUGAUGAAGGUCUUCGGAUCGUAAAACUCUGUUAUUAGGGAAGAACAUAUGUGUAAGUAACUGUGCACAUCUUGACGGUACCUAAUCAGAAAGCCACGGCUAACUACGUG